ACCACAUGAUAUUUGAUCACAAUAGCCUCCCUUUGCAGGUCACACUCUGUAGCCAGCUAAUUUAAUGGUGCUCUUUUCACUACAUUGGAGUCUCUUUUAUUCAUGAGUUUCAGCUAAGCUCAUUCCAACAAUUUGCAUUCCUGGCUAUGGGAAGCAGCAGCACAGCAUGAUGAUAAAGAGUUCAAGCUUUGGAGUCAGACAGAACUGGAUUACCACAUGCUAGCUGUAUGAUCUUUGAUCAUCCUCAGUUGUUAGAUCUUACUACUAUGGUAGCAAGAAAAGACAUGCCAGUGGGAAGCAGAUUAAAAUAUUAAAGAAACAGGCAGGUUCCCCCCAAAUAAUUCCAGACAGCAUGGAAAGAACCCUGUCCUCAUCGGUCCAUGAGUGAAAUGGCAAGUCAGGCCUGUAAAUAGGAUUCUGGCCUCUUCUGAGGCUCAGCUGCCUGUAGAGACAUGCAGCCCCACAGCACACCCCCACAGAGACACGCGACCCUGGCCAGAGGUGGUAAGAUGAGUGCUGACAUGGUUUGUGCGCCUCUAGAUGUAUGAUUCUACUUGAAAGAGCAAACAACUUAAGAAGAAGAAUCCCAAAGCAAUCACAGCAACAACAAAAAUAAAUCAAUGGAGACUGAUCAAAUUAAAAAGCUUCUUU